rnacentral:misc_RNA from 1 species
AAUGCAAGUGCCAACAGCGGGCUAGAUUUGUAUGACAUGGGAUUAUGACCUAAAAGUACCAAACCAAAAUAUGAAAUGCAAGUGCCAACAGCGGGCUAGAUUUGUAUGACAUGGGAUUAUGACCUAAAAGUACCAAACCAAAAUAUGAAUUGCAAGUGCUAACAGCAGAUUCAAACUCAAAAGAAACAGAAGGUGAAAGUGAAAGAAAAGAAAAUUGAAGAAACUGAAGGAAUCCACAUUCACUCACAUCAACUUAUAAAAACAAAGCCAAAAUCCAUAUAUAAUGCAUCAUAAACUCACUAUUCAUACCCAAGUUAGAGAUUUCAUGACAUACUAACAAAAGCCUGAAAGAACAGAUAAACCGAUAUUUGUGAUUCUAAAAUCUAAACAAACCUUAUUUAUCAACUAAAGAAUAAUAUAGAAAUCUUAUGAUUUAUGAUUUAAAUAUAUGCCAACUCAACCCACCAUUCAAAUAUAACUAGCAUGAAGAUGCAUUAUCAAAGCAAAACUAGCAAAAACUGA